UACAGAGGUGGCAAGCGUUGUUCGGAAUUACUGGGCGUAAAGGGCGCGUAGGCGGCUUGGUCAGUCCCGUGUGAAAUCCCUCGGCUCAACUGAGGAACUGCACGGGAAACUGCCUGGCUUGAGUUCGGGAGAGGGAAGCGGAAUUCCGGGUGUAGCGGUGAAAUGCGCAGAUAUCAGGAGGAACACCGGUGGCGAAGGCGGGUCUCUGGGCAGUAACUGACGCUGAGGAGCGAAAGCGUGGGGAGCGAACAGG
rnacentral:rRNA from 1 species